rnacentral:lncRNA from 1 species
UUUCUUGUUUACGAUGAUUAAAAAACAAUAGAAUUAAAAACUGUAACAAAUAUAGAAGUUUUAACAGUUACCUAUUACAAUACGUAACAAGAUAAAAAUAAUUACCAAUCACAAUAUGAUAAAGAUAUUGACAGACUUCGUGCAUGCAUAUUGUUUGGUGGACUUUGCAAGAUUAACAAACAGCCAAUUGUCAUACGAGAC